GUGGCCCUACGGGGCGCAGCAGUCGGGAAUAUUGCGCAAUGGAGGAAACUCUGACGCAGUGACGCCGCGUGCAGGAAGAAGGUUUUCGGAUUGUAAACUGCUUUAGACAGGGAAGAAAGAAAAUGACGGUACCUGACUAAGAAGCCCCGGCUAACUACGUGCCAGCAGCCGCGGUAAUACGUAGGGGGCAAGCGUUAUCCGGAUUUACUGGGUGUAAAGGGAGCGUAGACGGCAGCGCAAGUCUGGAGUGAAAUGCCGGGGCCCAACCCCGGAACUGCUCUGGAAACUGUGAAGCUGGAG
rnacentral:rRNA from 1 species